UACCAGCUGGCUGCAACUGUUUAUUAAAAACACAGCACUGUGCAAACACGAAAGUGGACGUAUACGGUGUGACGCCUGCCCGGUGCCGGAAGGUUAAUUGAUGGGGUUAUCCUCGCGGAGAAGCUCUUGAUCGAAGCCCCGGUAAACGGCGGCCGUAACUAUAACGGUCCUAAGGUAGCGAAAUUCCUUGUCGGGUAAGUUCCGACCUGCACGAAUGGCGUAAUGAUGGCCAGGCUGUCUCCACCCGAGACUCAGUGAAAUUGAACUCGCUGUGAAGAUGCAGUGUACCCGCGGCAAGACGGAAAGACCCCGUGAACCUUUACUAUAGCUUGACACUGAACACUGGUCCUUGAUGUGUAGGAUAGGUGGGAGGCUUUGAAGUGUGGACGCCAGUCUGCAUGGAGCCAUCCUUGAAAUACCACCCUUUAAUGGCUGGUGUUCUAACGUGGGCCCGUGAUCCGGGUUGCGGACAGUGUCUGGUGGGUAGUUUGACUGGGGCGGUCUCCUCCUAAAGAGUAACGGAGGAGCACGAAGGUCAGCUAAUCCUGGUCGGACAUCAGGAGGUUAGUGCAAUGGCAUAAGCUGGCUUGACUGCGAGCGUGACGGCGCGAGCAGGUGCGAAAGCAGGUCAUAGUGAUCCGGUGGUUCUGAAUGGAAGGGCCAUCGCUCAACGGAUAAAAGGUACUCCGGGGAUAACAGGCUGAUACCGCCCAAGAGUUCAUAUCGACGGCGGUGUUUGGCACCUCGAUGUCGGCUCAUCACAUCCUGGGGCUGAAGUAGGUCCCAAGGGUAUGGCUGUUCGCCAUUUAAAGUGGUACGCGAGCUGGGUUUAGAACGUCGUGAGACAGUUCGGUCCCUAUCUGCCGUGGGCGCUGGAGAAUUGAGGGGGGCUGCUCCUAGUACGAGAGGACCGGAGUGGACGCAUCACUGGUGUUCGGGUUGUCAUGCCAAUGGCAUUGCCCGGUAGCUAAAUGCGGAAGAGAUAAGUGCUGAAAGCAUCUAAGCACGAAACUUGCCCCGAGAUGAGUUCUCCCUGACUCCUUGAGAGUCCUGAAGGAACGUUGAAGACGACGACGUUGAUAGGCCGGGUGUGUAAGCGCAGCGAUGCGUUGAGCUAACCGGUACUAAUGAACCGUGAGGCUUAACCUU
rnacentral:rRNA from 1 species